UACGUAGGGCGCAAGCGUUAUCCGGAAUUAUUGGGCGUAAAGAGCUCGUAGGCGGUUUGUCGCGUCUGCCGUGAAAGUCCGGGGCUCAACUCCGGAUCUGCGGUGGGUACGGGCAGACUAGAGUGCUGUAGGGGAGACUGGAAUUCCUGGUGUAGCGGUGAAAUGCGCAGAUAUCAGGAGGAACACCGGUGGCGAAGGCGGGUCUCUGGGCAGUAACUGACGCUGAGGAGCGAAAGCGUGGGGAGCGAACAGG
rnacentral:rRNA from 1 species